UAAAAUAAUUAAGGGCACACAAAGGAUGCCUAGGUAGUAAGAGCCGAUGAAGGACGUGGUAAGCUGCGAUAAGCCUAGAUAAGUUGCAAUCGAACGUAAGAGUCUAGGAUUUCCGAAUGGAGCAAUCUAUUAAGAUGGAGUCUUAAUACGAAAGAGGGAACCGCGUGAACUGAAACAUCUAAGUAACGCGAGGAAAAGAAAGUAAAAACGAUACCCAAAGUAGCGGCGAGCGAACUGGGUCAAGCCUAAACCUUAAAUAUGUCAAGGAUACAGCCGUUGUAUUUAAGGGGUUGAGGGACUAAGUUGUGAAGAACUGUAAGAUAUUCAAUAUAGUGUAUUGAUGAAUUAGAAUUGUAUGGAAAGAUAAACCGUAGAAGGUGAAAGUCCUGUAUAAGUAAAUCCUUACACAUAUAACUUUGCUCCCAAGUAACAUGGAACACGAGGAAUUCUGUGUGAAUCAGUGAGGACCAUAUCUCAUAAGGCUAAAUACUCUUACUAACCGAUAGCGCAUAGUACCGUGAGGGAAAGGUGAAAAGAACCCCUGGAGGGGAGUGAAAUAGAACCUGAAAUUGUGUGCUUACAAGCGGUCAAAGCCCAUUUGGGUGAUGGCGUGCCUUUUGGAGAAUGAUCCUGCGAGUUACGUUAAACGGCGAGGUUAAGUAUAACGGAGCCGAAGGGAAACCAAGUCUUAAUAGGGCGAUAUAGUCGUUUGGCGUAGACGCGAAACCUGGUGAUCUAAACCUGUCCAGGAUGAAGCUGUGGUAAGACACAGUGGAGGUCCUAACCCACCGCCGUUGAAAAGUUGGGGGAUGAGGUAGGUUUAGGGGUGAAAAGCCAAUCGAACCAGGAGAUAGCUCGUUCUCUCCGAAAUGCAUCUAGGUGCAGCCUUGAGUGUUCAAUUAUGGGGGUAGAGCACUGAAUGAUCUAGGGGGCAUAUUGCUUACUGAAAUCAAUCAAACUCCAAAUACCAUAAUUUAUAGCUCAGGAGUGAGACCAUGGGAGUUAACUUCCAUUGUCAAAAGGGAAACAACCCAGACCACCAGCUAAGGUCCCUAAUUAUAACUAAGUGGGAAAGGAGGUGGAGAUUCACAAACAACUAGGAGGUUGGCUUAGAAGCAGCCAUACCUUUAAAGAGUGCGUAAUAGCUCACUAGUCGAGAGUCUCUGCGCCGACAAUGUAACGGGGCUAAGUUAUAAACCGAAGCUGUGGAAUCCUUAUGGAUUGGUAGGAGAGCGUUCUGUAGGCCGUUGAAGAAGAAGGGUAACCAACUUUGGAGGUAUCAGAAGUGAGAAUGCAGGAAUAAGUAGCGAGAAAGGGGGCGAGAAUCCCCCUCGCCGGAAGACCAAGGUUUUCAGGGUAAAGCUUGUCUUCCCUGAGUAAGCCGGGACCUAAGCCCAGGCUAUAAUGCGUAGGCGAAUGGAAAACAGAUUAAUAUUUCUGUGCCAGUCAUUUAUUGUGAUGGAGGGACGCAGAAGGGUAUGUGCGCGGACGAUCGGUUGUGUCCGUAGAAGUAUGUAGGGUGACUUAGUAGGAAAAUCCAUUAAGUUAUAUCUGAGGUAUGAUAUACAGUCGUAAGAUGAAUGUGCAAAUCCCACGCUGCCAAGAAAAACUUCUAGCGUUAAUAUAUGACUGCCCGUACUGUAAACCGACACAGGUGGUCAGGAUGAGAAAUCUAAGGCGGACAGGCUAACUCUCGUUAAGGAACUCUGCAAAAUAACCUCGUAACUUCGGGAGAAGAGGAGCCCUUGUGUGUGAGUAUACAUGCGAUACAAAGCGCACGAGGGUCGCAGUGAAGAGGCUCAAGCAACUGUUUAACAAAAACACAGGUCUAUGCUAAGCUGUAAGGCGAUGUAUAUGGGCUGACACCUGCCCAGUGCUGGAAGGUUAAGAGGAGGAGUGAGAGCUCCGAAUUGAAGCCCCAGUGAACGGCGGCCGUAACUAUAACGGUCCUAAGGUAGCGAAAUUCCUUGUCGGGUAAGUUCCGACCUGCACGAA
rnacentral:rRNA from 1 species